rnacentral:rRNA from 1 species
CGGGGUGGAGUAAUGUCUGGGAAACGUGCCUGAUGAGGGGGAGUAACUGCUGGAACGGUAGCUAAUACCGCAUAACGUCGCAAGACCAAAGAGGGGGACCUUCGGGCCUCUUGCCAUCGGAUGUGCCCAGAUGGGAUUAGCUAGUAGGUGGGGUAACGGCUCACCUAGGCGACGAUCCCUAGCUGGUCUGAGAGGAUGACCAGCCACACUGGAACUGAGACACGGUCCAG